rnacentral:lncRNA from 1 species
CUCUGAAUCAGAUCGUGGGAUUCUCUCUACCGAAUGUUGGAUGGAAAUGUGGACUGCAAGGAGGAGGAGUUUUCAGAGCUCAUCUCACUCCUCUGUCACUGUCCAGAGGAUGGGACCGAGGUCCGGAGAGGAGCAGGGGGCUGUGAGGCCACACAGCCAUGGGAGAGGGGGCCGAGUUGGGAUCGGAGUGGGAGGCCCAUCUCUGGAUGGGCAGCAAAGAGCGCCGGCUGGUUCGCUUGUCCAGACUGCGAGUGCCCAGCUCCUGGCUGGACUUCCCGCUGGGCACAGGUUGGGCACAAGUGUGUGCCCCCACCGCCCCAGUUCCUGCCUUCCACCUGGACAGACUGCCUCUUGUGCUCUGUUAAAGUGCCCCCUGGCACCUCCUCCCUGGGGAUUGGGGCCUGAUCUGGUCUCCAAUCAGAGCCACCCCAGCACCUCCCACCCAGCUCCUGGUUAGCCUGAGGGAGGACAGGACAGGUGCCCAGAGAGAAGUGUGCUGGGCCCACCAGCCUUGAAUGUCGCGUGGGAGGGGUGGAUGGUGACAUGCCAGCUCUUCCCACUUGUUCUGGACAGAUGGCAGUUUCCCAGGGAGGCCUUGCCUUGCCGACUGCAGAGACACCUUCAAACCCCAAGAACAGGGAGGAUGAAAUAAACACAGCUCAGGACCUCCAGGCACCACAAGCUCCCUGUCUAAAUUGGCGCUGUCACCCCAGGGGCCCUAGAGAAAUUACCCCAAAACCCAAAGUGACCCCCAGCCCUACUCUGGUAUCUGAGAUCUGGGCCUAGAGCUCAAGGGACCUUGAUUUCCAGGUCCUGCUGAAUGCAGACAACACCGGAAAGCAGCAUGCUUGAUCUGGCGUGUACCCAGCAGUGGUCAUCCUUCUAAGUCUCCUGUUUCCUGGGCUCUAAUGUCAUACAGGCCUGGCAUUGAAUGUCAGAGGUGCCCAAAGGAGCUGUGUGGCUAUGGACAAAUGACCAGACCUCUCUGAGCCUUAGUUUCCAUCUCAGUAAAAUGGGGUUUCUGUGGGGCUUAUAUAAAUUAAUGCCUGAAUAAAUGGUAGCAGUGAUUAUAAAUACAACUUGUUGAGCAAGCUGAGAAUACAGGCUGGGCUCCCACCACCGUGUCACCCAUCAGGGGUGGGGGGUGCGGAGGAAGGGGGGGGCGGAGGCCAGGACAGUUCCAUGCAAAUCUUGCCUCAGAAGUAGAGAGAGAGGGGGCCGGGCAGGCUGCGAGGUGCUCUCCGAAGCAGGGAGCUAGGGUAGAGGUGAGGGAGUGGGCAGGCCAAGAAAUACAGUUGGGAGGAGGUGAGGCUGCCUCCAGGCAACAAGUCCCUCUCUGUUCCUGCUGCCCCAGGAGGCCCCAGGCCAGCCCAUGUCACAUGGCCCAUGAAUCUCCAGCUAAGGUUGGAGCAUUUCAGGGCAGCCUUGGCCUUGGCUUCCCCUGAUGUUCUGAUAUCUUGAGAGCAGGGGCUGGGCUGGUCCUGUUACCAUCGUCUGCCCGGCACCCAGCUGGGUGCCUGGUACGGAGCCUGAGAUCAGGUCACCCCUGAUCAGCCGAAAGAAUGAUUUGAAGACGAGCUUCCAAUGUUCCCGCCAUCGCCUUCAUUGUACAGAUGUGGAAACUGAGGCACAAAAAGGGGGGGACAAGUGUUGCCCCAGAUCACAGUGGAAGUUGGUGACAGGAUAGGACUGACUCUACCCCGGGGUCUGUCUGGACUCCAUGUCCGGUGAGCGCUCCACAACCAUAUUCUCCAUUAAAGAGAACCUGUGAUCUUUUGUUGUUGUUUUUUGUUUGUUUGUUUGUUUUGUCUUUUCUUGGGCCGCACCCGAAGCAUAUGGAGGUUCCCAGGCUAGGGGUCAAACUCGAGCUGUAGCGGCCGGCCUACGCCACAGCCACAGCAACGUGGGAUCCGAACCACAUCUGCGACCCACACCACAGCUCACGGCAACGACGGAUCCCUAACCCACUGAGUGAGGCCAGGGCUUGAACCUGCGUCCCCAUGGAUCCAAGUCAGAUUCAUUUCUGCUGAGCCACGAUGGGAACUCCCCACUUUUUGUCUUUCUUCUUUGCCUCUUUCCUCCCUUCCUUCCCUCCUUUCUUUCAAACGUGGACGACUGUAUACUUGCAAAGUGGAAAUAGAUUUCUCUUUUGCCUCUACUUUAAAAAAAAUCCUAUGUUCUC